ACACACACACACACACACACAAACACCCUCACAUCACACUAACAGCACCCUCACACACACAUCACACUAACAGCACACAGCACACUAACAGCACACACAGCAGUGUAUGUGUGUGUGUGUGUGUAUAUAUACGCGGCGUGUGUUUGUGUUUUAGGGUGCACACCCUAAUGCAAUAGGCUGUGCACGCCUAUGGUUCAUACCUCGAUGCAUCAG